AUGGUCAAUGACUUAUGCAAGGCAGUAACUGAACAGGUUGGCACCUUCAUUAAAGCAGUUGCCAAGAUCGAUGAUGAGGAACCGGAUGUUGAUCCAUAUGUACAUCAGACAUCAACGGGAACCGCUCCGUCACGUCGUGCUCCAAAAAGGAAGAGAUGGGUUUCACCUAUACAAGAAGAAGAAGUCUUCGAUGAGGAGUCAGAAGAAGAUGAUGAAAUGGAAGUACCACAAGAUGUUGAAGAUGACAGGGAGACAUAUGAGAUGAAUCAGAGGAGGAGGACAAAGAGGAGGAUGACAAAAGAAGAAUAA
rnacentral:rRNA from 1 species